rnacentral:rRNA from 1 species
UACGUAGGCAGCAAGCGUUGUUCGGAGUUACUGGGCGUAAAGGGUGUGUAGGCGGUUCCUUAAGUUUGCUGUGAAAUCUCCCGGCUUAACCGGGAGGGUGCGGUGAAUACUGAGGGACUAGAGUACGGGAGAGGAAAGUGGAAUUCCUGGUGUAGCGGUAGAAAUGCGCAGAUAUCAGGAGGAACACCCGUGGCGAAAGCGGCUCUCUGGGACGGUACUGACGCUGAGACGCGAAAGCGUGGGGAGCAAACAGG